GACGAACGCUGGCGGCGUGCUUAACACAUGCAAGUCGAACGGCAACGCCCUGCUUUUGUGGGGUGCUCGAGUGGCGAACGGGUGCGUAACAGGUGAGUAACCUGCCCUUGAUUUUGGGAUAACUUCAGGAAAGUGGGGCUACUAUCGGAUAGCAUCUCCUGUUGCAUGGUGGGGGUUGGAAAGUUUCGGCGGUUGGGGUUGGAUUCGCGGCUUACCAGCUUGUUGGUGGGGUAGUGGCUUACCAAGGCUUUGACGGGUAGCCGGCCUGAGAGGGUGACCGGCCACAUUGCGACUGAGAGACGGCCCAGACUCCUACGUGAGGCAGCAGUGGGGAAUAUUGCACAAUGGGCGGAAGCCUGAUGCAGCGACGCCGCGUGCGGGAUGACGGCCUUCGGGUUGUAAACCGCUUUCGCCUGUGACGAAGCGUGAGUGACGGUAAUGAAUAAAGAAGCACCGGCUAACUACGUG
rnacentral:rRNA from 1 species